rnacentral:rRNA from 1 species
UGCGCAGGCGGGAAACUAAGUCAGUGGUGAAAUCCUUCAGCUUAACUGAAGAAUUGCCAUUGAAACUGGUUUUCUUGAAUCUACUUGAAGUGGGCGGAAUAUGACAUGUAGCGGUGAAAUGCUUAGAUAUGUCAUAGAACACCGAUUGCGAAGGCAGCUCACUAAAGUAGUAUUGACGCUCAGGCACGAAAGCGUGGGGAGCGAACAGGAUUAGAUACCCUGGUAGUCC